rnacentral:rRNA from 1 species
UGGGGAAUUUUGGACAAUGGGCGAAAGCCUGAUCCAGCAAUGCCGCGUGUGUGAAGAAGGCCUUCGGGUUGUAAAGCACUUUUGUCCGGAAAGAAAUCCUUGGCUCUAAUACAGUCGGGGGAUGACGGUACCGGAAGAAUAAGCACCGGCUAACUACGUGCCAGCAGCCGCGGUAAUACGUAGGGUGCAAGCGUUAAUCGGGAAUUACUGGGCGUAAAGCGUGCGCAGGCGGUUUGCUAAGACCGAUGUGAAGUCCCCGGGCUCAACCUGGGAACUGCAUUGGUGACUGGCAGGCUAGAGUAUGGCAGAGGGGGGUAGAAUUCCACGUGUAGCAGUGAAAUGCGUAGAGAUGUGGAGGAAUACCGAUGGCGAAGGCAGCCCCCUGGGCCAAUACUGACGCUCAUGCACGAAAGCGUGGGGAGCAAACAGGAUUAGAUACCCUGGUAGUCCACGCCCUAAACGAUGUCAACUAGUUGUUGGGGAUUCAUUUCCUUAGUAACGUAGCUAACGCGUGAAGUUGACCGCCUGGGGAGUACGGUCG